AUUUUUUGUUUUUUCAAUUUUAAUUUUUAAAUUUACAUUUUGUUUUGGUUCUAAGCUUUCCAUUUAGUUUUUAUUAUCUUCUAUUUCUCUGCUGAGAUUUUCUAUGUUUUUAUUUGUUUCAAGCAUGUUUAUUAUUACUCAUUAAAGCAUUUUAACCAUGACCAUUAAAAUCUUUGUCAAAUAAUUCUAACAUCUUUGUUAUCUCAGUGUUAGUAUAUAAUCAAUUGUCUUUUUCAUUCAAGUUGACAUUUCCCUAUUUCUUGGCAUGACAAGUGAUUUUCUUCCUUCUUUUUUUUUUUUUUUUUUUCCUGAGACAGGAUCUUACUCUGUUGCCCAGGCUGGAAUGAACAUGGCUUACUGUAGCCUUGACCUCCUUUGUUCAAGUGAUUCUUCGGCCUCAGCCUCCUGGGUAGCUGGGACUGUAGGUGUGCACCACCACCUGGUUAAUUUUUUAAAUUAUUUUUUGUAGAGAUGGGAUCUCGCCGAAUUGCCCAGGCUGGUCUUGAACUCCUGGACUCAAGUGAUUCUUCUGCCUUGGCCUCCCAAAGUGGUGGGAUUACAGGCAUGAGCUGCCCUGCUUGACUGGACAGAUUAUUUUCAAUUGGAACCUGGAUACUUUGGAUAGUGUGUGUGAUGCACCUGCUCCUGCUCUGCCUUCUGCCAUGAGUGGAAGCUUCCUGAGGCCUCACCAGAAGCAGAUGCUGCUCUCUUUUCUAUACAGCCUGCACAACCAUGAGCCAAUUAAACCUCUUUUCUUUAUAAAUUAUCCAAGCUCAAGUAUACCUUUGUAGUAAUGCAAAUGGACUAAUGCACUGUUCAAAAGAAAUCCGGUUGAAACUGGGUUUUGCAUAACUAGAUCUCUGACCUCUUGUUCUUUUGGGAUUGGGGAGGGCCAGCCUGCUCACUUGGGGACCUCCUCCUGACAGACUAGGUCUCAACACAGUGGAGAUUUCCAGCCCAAACCUGUAUUAAUCCUCUCCCUCCUGUUGAAUGUUUCUUUCAUGGGAGCUGAGCUGCAGGAUUAGAGCUCAUGAUAAGCCAUUCCAAAGUGUUUUAUGGAAACCAUGAGCUCUCUGGCAGAUUCCCUGCAGGCUUAGGAAUGAAGGAUCCUCCUCACAGUUGUUGUGUGUCUAUACCUCAGAUGCCUGUCACAAAACCCAAGAGGGUCCCAGUGAAUGGAAGAAAGGCUUCCCGAGGUGAUUUCCUUACUAUAAGACAGACCCUGCACCAGGCUGGAUUCUUUCUUUUUUUUGCCAUGCCACAAUGUCGGGAGAGGAGCUGAAGGUCAUACCCUCACACAGGUAGGAGGGUCUAAGUCAAGCCUAUUUUGGAAGGCAAUGUGCUCACAGAAACAUCAUCCAACUUUGAGGUCAAGGCGAGAGGCUGGAAGAAGGUGCCAAGAAUGACAGAUUCUGCUCCGGUGUCAAGGACAGAAGCUGCAUAUUCCACUGUGAAGGCCACAGCUUUUUCAUAAGAAAAGUGCAAUUUACUGAUGAUCAAAUAGUUCAUUUAAGAGAUUCCAGUGAGGAGUGGAAGAUGAAUUGAAGGAGAUAUUAGAGAUGACAUUCAUGAAUUGAACAGAGGAGUUACCCAGAUGAUCCCUGAGAUAUCUUAUAAACCCCAGAUUCUAUGACUGUAUGACUUUUAUCUGAAAUGACACGAGCUGAAGUAGGCGAUUCACACUUUAGAUGUUUCAGGUUCAACUCUGCUUCAGACAAUACUGGGAAUGAAUAAAAAGAAUCUGUAUUAUUAAACAACUCCAGGUGUCACCCAGUUCAUCCCUUGGUUCCAAGGAAACAACAGACAUAUAACUAAUUGACCCAUCUUGUUAGGAACAAUUCAUUGUCCUCAUGGUCCUAUCCAGUGGUGCUCAUUCUCUGCUCUGCAGUGGAAUCACUUAUGAGCUUUUUAAAAAUACAGACACUUUUUCCCACCCCUAGAGCUACUGGGUCAGAAUCUCUGAGGUUGGGUUCAAGGAUGUAAUUUUGUAAAAUUCCUACAGGAGAUCCCAGUGCACCAAGACUGGGAACCACCUCUGUCAUCUGGAUCCUCCUGCUACAGAGCCAUGCUGUGAGGCCCCAGGGCCGCUGCCGUGAUUUUCUGCAGAUGGUCCUGUGUCUGCCUUCUGCAGCGGCUCCCCUCAAAUGCCAUAGAGCUAGAAAGUAAAGGCCAAUGGCCUGGUACCCAAAAGUGAUUUAGUGGAACAAGAGGUAGUUAGUCGGGCUAAAUAUGUGUCAGAGACAAAGGGGGCACAGCACAGCAGAGUGAGGUAAGGACAGGGAGAGUCCAGGGUCUGGGUCCGCCUUGGACCUCUGCCUUGUUUGAUUGGACAUAUAUCUGGAGAAAAUGCAGGCACCAACUCAAAGCAGGCUUGCAUGGAACUGCACUCUGCAAACCUGGCUCAUUUGAUGCUAUGUUAUUUUUUAAAUAGGUGGAAAAGUGUGGCCCCUGUUUCAAGAAGGAAACUCCUUCCUGAGUUCAGAGACCAUGGCCCAGGAGGGCCUGUGUUCUGUCUGUGGAGUUCGGAGGUGGCUGGAGGCAAAUGUUUUAUUUUUUGCUUAAAACCUCAUGGAGCAGCAUGCCAGUUUUUACUCAUGAAAAUGGAAAUAAAAACGGAGAGAGAUGUAAGGGUUAAUUAAAGAAGCUGAGAAAACUGCCUGAUACACUAAUUCUGUUGAGUUACCGGCCACAAUUAAAGGUUUCAUUGAAAAGACCAGAGAAAAACUGCUUACGAAGCUUGCCCGG
rnacentral:lncRNA from 1 species